rnacentral:rRNA from 1 species
AUUGAACGCUGGCGGCAUGCCCUACACAUGCAAGUCGAACGGUAACAGGUCUUCGGAUGCUGACGAGUGGCGAACGGGUGAGUAAUACAUCGGAACGUGCCUAGUAGUGGGGGAUAACUACUCGAAAGAGUGGCUAAUACCGCAUGAGAUCUACGGAUGAAAGCAGGGGAUCGCAAGACCUUGUGCUACUAGAGCGGCCGAUGGCAGAUUAGGUAGUUGGUGGGAUAAAGGCUUACCAAGCCGACGAUCUGUAGCUGGUCUGAGAGGACGAUCAGCCACACUGGGACUGAGACGCGGCCCAGACUCCUACGGGAGGCAGCAGUGGGGAAUUUUGGACAAUGGGCGCAAGCCUGAUCCAGCAAUGCCGCGUGCAGGAUGAAGGCCUUCGGGUUGUAAACUGCUUUUGUACGGAACGAAAAGCCCUGGGUUAAUACCCUGGGGUCAUGACGGUACCGUAAGAAUAAGCACCGGCUAACUACGUGCCAGCCGCCGCAGUAAGAC